GACGAACGCUGGCGGCGUGCCUAAUACAUGCAAGUUGAGCGAUGAAGCUUGGUGCUUGCCCCAAUUUGAAGAGCAGCGAACGGGUGAGUAACGCGUGGGGAAUCUGCCUUUGAGCGGGGGACAACAUUUGGAAACGAAUGCUAAUACCGCAUAACAACUUUAAACAUAAGUUUUAAGUUUGAAAGAUGCAAUUGCAUCACUCAAAGAUGAUCCCGCGUUGUAUUAGCUAGUUGGUGAGGUAAAGGCUCACCAAGGCGAUGAUACAUAGCCGACCUGAAAGGAGGGUCAGGGAAGCGGGAACUGAGCAACGGUCAAGAGUCCUAGGGAAGGCAGACGUGGGGAAAAUUGGAGAAUGGGGGAAAGCAUAAGCAAGCAAUGCGGGGGGUGUGAAGAAGGUGUUCGGAUUGAAAAGACAUUUAAGGUGGGAGGAAGGGCAGUAAGUUAAUACCUUACUGUUUUGACGUUACCAACAGAAUAAGCACCGGCUAACUUCGUG
rnacentral:rRNA from 1 species